GCUGAGGGGGACGUGGCAGUGACGGCGGCGGUGUUCGUGGAUCGGGUGCCUUCUCCUCCACGGCAGCAGAAGAGCGGAGCGUAACAGACAGAAGGAGCACAGAAGCUGAAAGCAUGGCAGACGUAGUUGUUAAAGAUCCUCUUCCCAAAAAGCAUAUGUCUGCCUGUAUCUAAUAAGCUCUUCAGAGGUGAGAUUUGGGGCAGGAAUAAUACCGAUUUGAUAAUUUAUGUUUAACGACUACUCUCUUGUGACUUGUACUUAGAAAUCUAGGUAUCAUGAUGUUUUGUUUUAAGGCAUGCUUCAUUUUUAUGUGUUUUCGGAACAGAAAAGUGCAAUCAAGUGCAUUAGUGUGACCGGGAGGAAUUUGGUUUGGAUGUAGAGACAUUAGAAAACAUAAUCUGCUAUUCCCAGCAUAAAAAACACACUGCUAGUACUUUGCCUGCCAAACUAGAAACAUCUGAAUGCACAGAUUUCUCAGGGAUAUCCUGGGCAAGAGGAGUGUCUUUUUUUGUAAGCGUGUGAGUACUAAGAGAAAUCUGCAGCUGUAGGAUCAAGGGAGAUUGGAAGUUAAUACCAGCAGCUUUGUCUCAGAGCAGCUUUACAACUUCUGGGAGAGCGUCCUACUGUUUGGUGAUGAUUGCUGUUUGUUUGUGUUUCCAGUAGCAAUAUUAAACUGCCUCAAACUUGUUUUUACAGGGGAAAAACCCUCUUGAAAGAAGACAGGGCUAAAUUCCACAUGCGAAUUCUAGGAGUAGCUGUGUCUAAACCUGUUCAUUUUUGAUUAGGGUAGGGUGGAUAUGUUUAAUCAUCUGGAAUUGGUGACUUUUGGGAGCAGUAAUAUUUCUGGCUGUCAAGCAGAGCUAGUAAAAGCUAAUUUUAGGCUAGAUCUUUAUCUCAGUUUUUAAACAAAGUUAAAAUUUGGAGCUUUAAUGAGAGUUUCUGCAGUCCAUCUGUUCUUGAUGAAGAGGGGCUGGAACCCAGCUUACUGUGCCUAAAAUUAGCCUUGACUGCUUCGAUACAGACAAAUACAGUUAGGAUCUCAUUGUGUACUGCUCCUCUCUUUGGGCUGUCACUGAGCCUUAAGCUAUUACAGUACUGGUUUUGGUAGUUGAGUGGCUGUACUGCACCUUCAGGGAUGGCUCCUCUGCUCUCAGCGUGUUAGAAGGGUGUUUCAACGAGUGUUCCUGUGCUGCAGAAGCUGCGGGUAAGUUUUUGAAGUCUGGAAAAUGGAAGUGGAAAGUCCACCUGUAAUUUUGGUGUCUGUGUGAAUGUAAAGUCUUUGAAUGUAUGAAUAAGUCAAUAAAGAGACGUGACUGGCUGCAA